ACUUUCAAAGGAUAACAGCCUUCCGCUAGUCUUAGGCGCUAUCAACUCUUGGUGCAACCCCAAGUGAAAGUA
rnacentral:tRNA from 1 species